rnacentral:rRNA from 1 species
AACGAACGCUGGCGGCAUGCCUAACACAUGCAAGUCGAACGAGACCUUCGGGUCUAGUGGCGCACGGGUGCGUAACGCGUGGGAACCUGCCCUUAGGUUCGGAAUAACUCCCCGAAAGGGGUGCUAAUACCGGAUAAUGUCUUCGGACCAAAGAUUUAUCGCCUUUGGAUGGGCCCGCGUUGGAUUAGCUAGUUGGUAGGGUAAAAGCCUACCAAGGCGACGAUCCAUAGCUGGUCUGAGAGGAUGAUCAGCCACACUGGGACUGAGACACGGCCCAGACCCAUCGGGGAGGAAGCAGGGGGGAAUAUUGGACAAUGGGCGAAAGCCUGAUCCAGCAAUGCCGGGUGAGUGAUGAAGGCCUUAGGUUUGUAAAGCUCUUUUACCCGGGAUGAUAAGGACAGUACCGGGAGAAUAAGCCCCGGCUACCUCCGU